UACGUAGGGUGCAAGCGUUGUCCGGAAUUAUUGGGCGUAAAGAGCUCGUAGGCGGUUUGUCGAGUCUGCUGUGAAAACCCGAGGCUCAACCUCGGGCCUGCAGUGGGUACGGGCAGACUAGAGUGCGGUAGGGGAGAUUGGAAUUCCUGGUGUAGCGGUGGAAUGCGCAGAUAUCAGGAGGAACACCGAUGGCGAAGGCAGAUCUCUGGGCCGUAACUGACGCUGAGGAGCGAAAGCAUGGGGAGCGAACGGG
rnacentral:rRNA from 1 species